rnacentral:rRNA from 1 species
ACUCCCUAUAACCCUUUGUGAACCUCACCCGUUCCGUAGUGUCUCCGGCAGGUAUCCCCAGGGGAGGGGACCUGUGCCAUCAGGCGCCUGCCGGAGGGCUCAACACAAACUCUUUUAUGGCGUCUGCCACUGCUGUCUGAGGCACUAUAGAAAUAAAUCAAAACUUUCAACAACGGAUCUCUUGGUUCUGGCAUCGAUGAAGAACGUAGCGAACUACGAUAAGUAAUGUGAAUUGCAGAAUUCAGUGAAUCAUCGAAUCUUUGAACGCACAUUGCGCCCACCAGCACUCUGGUGGGCAUGCCUGUUCGAGCGUCAUUUUCCACCCUCAAGCCCCUACGGGCUUGGUGUUGGGGCUUCUACGGCGGGGUUCGCCCCCCGUAGGCCCUUAAAGUCAGUGGCGGGCUCGCUAGCACUCCGGGCGUAGUAGCUUUUUACACGUCGCCUAGGGGGUCUGGCGGGCGACCGGCCGUAAAACAGCGACUGCUGUCGCACAUUUUCUCAAGGU